rnacentral:misc_RNA from 1 species
UCCUGGUUAACCCAGGCAGUCUCAUUAGAGUUCCCACCUUAAAUGUUGGCAACUAAUGAUAAGGGUUGCGCUCGUUGCGGGACUUAACCCAACACCUCACGGCACGAGCUGACGACAGCCAUGCAGCACCUGUGCAGCAGCCCCGAAGGGAAGAUCCAUCUCUGGACCGGUCUACUGCAUGUCAAGCCUGGGUAAGGUUCUUCGCGUUGCAUCGAAUUAAACCACAUGCUCCACUGCUUGUGCGGGUCCCCGUCAAUUCUUUUGAGUUUCAGCCUUGCGACUGUACUCCUCAGGCGGUAUACUUAACACGUUAGCUACGACACAACUGGGGUUGAGUCCAGUUACAUCAAGUAUACAUCGUUUACAGCAAGGACUAC